GAUGAACGCUGGCGGCGUGCCUAAUACAUGCAAGUCGAGCGAACGGACGAGAAGCUUGCUUCUCUGAUGUUAGCGGCGGACGGGUGAGUAACACGUGGAUAACCUACCUAUAAGACUGGGAUAACUUCGGGAAACCGGAGCUAAUACCGGAUAAUAUUUUGAACCGCAUGGUUCAAAAGUGAAAGACGGUCUUGCUGUCACUUAUAGAUGGAUCCGCGCUGCAUUAGCUAGUUGGUAAGGUAACGGCUUACCAAGGCAACGAUGCAUAGCCGACCUGAGAGGGUGAUCGGCCACACUGGAACUGAGACACGGUCAAGAAUCCUACGGGAGGCAGCAGUAGGGAAUCUUCCGCAAUGGGCGAAAGCCUGACGGAGCAACGCCGCGUGAGUGAUGAAGGUCUUCGGAUCGUAAAACUCUGUUAUUAGGGAAGAACAUAUGUGUAAGUAACUGUGCACAUCUUGACGGUACCUAAUCAGAAAGCCACGGCUAACUACGUG
rnacentral:rRNA from 1 species